GGAAGCGCUCGAGUGUAAACAAACUCUGACACAACGCUGAGGAAGAUUUCACUUCACACACACACAGUGCUAUGGAGAGUUAUGAAGAUUUCAUCCGGAGACAUUAUAACACCGUCACACCUUCAGCGAUGAUCGUGUUUCAUGCAGCUCGAGUUCUUCCUCCUCUGUCGUUAGCGGAGCGUGUCCUUCCCGUGGCUCACGUCUGGAGGACACACUGACCUCCAUCUGUCUGCACACACAACACCUCACGGGUAACACACACACUGCUAUUCCUAUCGUCAUGGGUUCAUUCCAUAGACAUAAUGGUUUUUUCUAUCCCCUUCUGCUAAACCUACCCCUCACAAAACCUACAGGCAUUUUUAGAUUCUCUAAACACUUCAUACUGCAUGAUUUAUAAGCUUGUUUCCUCAUGGGGACCUAAAAAAUGUCCCCACAAAGUCAAAA